UUUUUGUAUCCCUUGAUUUGUUAUCACUUUUUUGGCAAUUGAACAAGACUCAAAACACAAAAUAAUAGUCUUUGGUGUGUAGAACAACUCGCUACAGCAUAUUCCAGAAAAUAAGAAAAUUACCAAACUACCCCUAGUUUUAGUAAGACUUUAUUAAAACUGAACCAGCAACUUUCUAAAGUAAAGAAACUAAAUACUUAGAUUUAAUAACAACUAAAGUAGCCUUUAAAAGGUGCCAAAAAGCCCCCCACGUCAAAAUUAGUCCAUAAUUCUAGGUUUACUAUUUAAUCUUGUUUCUCCUUGAACACUUUACUUUUUGCAUCAUUAAGCCUAACGUAUAAGUUAUCAUUUGUCCUUAAUGCCAUUAUCUUUCAGGUACUUAAUAUACCGACUAAGAUGAAUGAGCUGUUGGUGCCAUAUUGUCAGCAACUGAUUCAGUUUGCACGCUGCAGGGACAAGGAGCUUGUCAUUUCCUUCAAUGGGAGGAUACUCAAGAAAUUACCACAAUUAAUGAUCUUGUAGAUGAAAGCAAACAUGGCAUAUCUGUAGAUUCUACUUCAACAAGCCAUGAGUUAGUCACUAAAAUGGGUGAUUUGAGUACUAAUAAUUGAAAGAGGAAGUUUGAUUCACUAGAGAUGGAAAAUCCUCAACAUCUCCCAACUUCUGUGGCUGUACAUGAACAUUUUGAGAAAGAUCAAGAGCCUGUCAUAGAGAGGAGUGAACAUGAUGAGAGUUCAGAGAAUUUAACAUCUACAAAGUAUAUUGAUCCAUCACGAGUUGAGGACUCUUCAAAUCUCCAAGACCUAGCUGUGCUGGAGGUUGAGUUGACUGUAAGUGAACCUUCUGCUCUUACUGUAUCUUUGCAUUCUUGUUGGCCUUUUGCCAAUGGUGAUUGGUACAGUUUUUGUGUCAAUCAUAAACUCCUCGUGUAUGCACUCCAUCUGUGUUCAGUGUGAAAUGCUCCUGUCUAUCAUCAUUAAUUGUCUGAUAUUUAACUAGUUAACACUUGUGACAUGGUAUGACCUGAUUAGACAUGGUGUGACUUGGGUGGGGUAGUGUGAGUUGUGAGGGUGGUUUUGAUAGUUGUGGAAAAAAAUGCCCACACCUUAUAUGGAGGAAGUGGGGAAUAUUUGGCUAAACAAAAACGGGAAGGCUGCUAUCCUUAUAUAUGAAUUCUCAAUUUACAUGCUGGAUUGGCUACAUUAAUUCUUACAUCUAAAUUUUGGAUGGAGUGAGUGUACUGCUCUCCAACCCCCCACCUCCAAUCCUUUUGUUUUACUUGUUGUUGGCUAGCAAGGUAUUAUCGGCCAAUUGACUAUAAUUGGAGCCUAUCUUUAGCUAAACUAGAGCUUUCAAUCUUUUUUGCAACUCAAGUUUGCAUCCUUUCCUGCCAUUGUCCUUUCGGUGCUGCAAUUCAGAUCAUUUGUGUCCAUUGGUGCAGCCAUUGGACAACAACAAAUCUUGCACUUGAUCAUGGCAGCUUGCCCUGAAUUAAUGCAAGCCAUAAGCCUGUAACCACCAAGAAUUAAGCAAGCAUCUUCUUUUGCCAUAUGCCCUUCUGAUCAGUUUGUGCCUGUCUGACUAUCAUGAUCUGAUAGGUACAGGAACAUGCCAAUUUUGCUGUGUUUGAAGUAUUUAGGAUUCUAGAAAGAAAAAAAAUGAUAAAAACUUAGGAUUCUUUUUGACAAUAAUCUGAACUUUUUGAAUAUAUUUAUAUUGUAGCCAAAGAAAGAAA